rnacentral:lncRNA from 12 species
CCGCCCCGCCAGACCUUGCCCACCGUGGGAGGGGCGCCCCGGAGGGCAGGGAGCUGCCUCGGGUGUGGGGGACCUCAUGGCUUUCCUUCUGAUGGCCGCUCUCUGAGAACAAACAUCCUCUGUCCUUCGACCAUCCUCUCCUGUUGUCUCCGUCUCAGAUGAUGAAACCGUGGUCGCUGGUGCCCAGGCGGUGCGGACAGCGGGUUCCUGCACCUCCAUAGGCUCCUAGCCCUGUGGGGAGGCACGGCUGAGGCUGACCGAGCGGCCCGAGUCCAGCGUGCUCUGUCUGAGAAGCCACAGUGUUCCAAAGGACUCCUCCUACAGUGCUCUUCUCCUUUGCCUUUGAGGACCACGUGCCCAGUACCUGCCCCCAGUACCUGACCUGCACGUCCUGCACUUCCUGUGUCUGCGAGUCCCGGUUCUCCUCGGUAACUGAUGGUGAGUCUCUGAAGAAAGGGGUCGUGUCUCACUUGACUUUGCUGCCUGUGUUGGGGACUGCA